GAUGAACGCUGGCGGCGUGCCUAAUACAUGCAAGUCGAGCGAACAGAUAAGGAGCUUGCUCCUUUGACGUUAGCGGCGGACGGGUGAGUAACACGUGGGUAACCUACCUAUAAGACUGGGAUAACUUCGGGAAACCGGAGCUAAUACCGGAUAACAUUUGGAACCGCAUGGUUCUAAAGUGAAAGAUGGUUUUGCUAUCACUUAUAGAUGGACCCGCGCCGUAUUAGCUAGUUGGUAAGGUAACGGCUUACCAAGGCGACGAUACGUAGCCGACCUGAGAGGGUGAUCGGCCACACUGGAACUGAGACACGGUCCAGACUCCUACGGGAGGCAGCAGUAGGGAAUCUUCCGCAAUGGGCGAAAGCCUGACGGAGCAACGCCGCGUGAGUGAUGAAGGGUUUCGGCUCGUAAAACUCUGUUAUUAGGGAAGAACAAAUGUGUAAGUAACUGUGCACGUCUUGACGGUACCUAAUCAGAAAGCCGCGGCUAACUACGUG
rnacentral:rRNA from 1 species